AGUGAACGCUGGCGGUAGGCCUAACACAUGCAAGUCGAACGGCAGCACAGUAAGAGCUUGCUCUUACGGGUGGCGAGUGGCGGACGGGUGAGGAAUACAUCGGAAUCUACUUUUUCGUGGAGGAUAACGUAGGGAAACUUACGCUAAUACCGCAUACGACCUACGGGUGAAAGCAGGGGAUCUUCGGACCUUGCGCGAUUGAAUGAGCCGAUGUCGGAUUAGCUAGUUGGCGGGGUAAAGGCCCACCAAGGCGACGAUCCGUAGCUGGUCUGAGAGGAUGAUCACCCAACCUGGAACGGAGACACGGUCAAGAUCCUUAGGGAAGGAAGAAGUGGGAAUAAUGGGACAAGGGGGGAAAGCUUAACCAAGCAUAACCGGGUGGGUGAAGAAGGCCUUGGGGUUGUAAAGCCUUUUUGUUGGGAAAAAAAAGAGGAAGGUUAAAACCCGGCGGUCUGGCGGGAACCAAAGGAAUAGGAACGGCCUACUUCGGU
rnacentral:rRNA from 1 species